UACGUAGGUGACAAGCGUUGUCCGGAUUUACUGGGCGUAAAGAGCGCGCAGGCGGUCGGUCAAGUCGAGUGUGAAAGCCCCCGGCUCAACUGGGGAGGGUCACUCGAUACUGAUCGACUCGAAGGCAGGAGAGGGAAGUGGAAUUCCCGGUGUAGUGGUGAAAUGCGUAGAUAUCGGGAGGAACACCAGUGGCGAAGGCGACUUCCUGGCCUGUUCUUGACGCUGAGGCGCGAAAGCUAGGGGAGCAAACGGG
rnacentral:rRNA from 1 species